GGGGCAGGGCCUGGGGGUCCGCGGACUUUCAGUGGAGGCAGCGAGGCCAAGGAGUGGUUCCGGGGCGCAGCAGCCCUGGGUCGUGGCGUGGCAUUAAAGGGCAGAGAGCUGAGCCUCCGAGGAGGAUGGGCCUGAGGGCGACUGCCACCCCUCUCACCCCCGGGAGGACGGUGCGGAGCCCACGGAUCUCUGCGUCCCCACCGCGGAGUCACUGCGGGCAAUCAGGCUGCAGUUUAGGUAGCCCAGGAGCAGCAGUUUGCAGACUGCUUGGAUGUGGUGGCACCCCCAGGAGGCUGAGGCAGGCGGAUCACACUUUCAGGCCAGCCCGAGCAAUUUAGCGACACCUUGUCUCAAAAUAAAAAGGGCUGGGCGUGCAGCUCAGGAAUGGAGCUCCCCCUGGUUUCCAAGGCUGGGGCAGCGGAAAAUGCACAGGCUGUCCGGGCGUGGUUUUCACCCCAACCUGCGGAACCAGUAGCAGCAAUCAAGUCUAAUCUCGGGGCAGCCGCUGGAGGGCGCUCUGGGCCAGCUGUGUCUCGGUCUCGGGUCUACCAGCCGCGCCUGGACGCUCAAGGCCCGCUCCAGUCGCCGCACACGGGCACAUACACGAACAUGCAGGCCACACUCCAGGUCACCUGGCCAAAUUCUGCUGGCAAACUACAGAGUUUCAAAUUGAAUAAUAGCAAUAACUAUGCCAGGCGUGGUGGCCCGUGUCAGUAAUCACAGCGCUCAGGAGGCCGAAGCAGGAAGACCUCUGAGAGUUCCACUACAUAGUAAGUUCAAGGUCAGACUGUUUUGAGAAAAAAAAAAAAAAGACAAAACAAACAAAAUAGGACUAUGGUAGUUAACAUUCGUUGGACAGUCGCCCUCUCCCAUAAACAUUUGCUCACUGAAUUCUCAAAACCCCUUUUAGGGAGGGGAGGGGGCUUAGGACAAGAGAUGAGUAGUCUGCCCCUCCCCUGCCUCCCCCCCAACUCCAGAUCCCAGGAAUCCUGCGCUGGUGGAACCCUCCGAGACCAGGUCCUUGCAGCUGGGUGACAGGUCACCUCGGAGCUCCUUGGCUUUCAGAUCUCUUUGGGUCUCAGUAUCUUCUGCUAGAGAACGGAAUGAAAACUCACAGCUUGGCAAAAGUUUGAAAUUGUAGUUUGUGCUGAGGGCCGGCGACUGGAGAGAGGCAAGCCCUGCUGAGAACCCGACAGCCUUCCGCCCAGCGCGCCUGCUGCCUCCUUCGCGGGCCCUUGAAGCCAGGAAUCACAUUGGGCUCUCACCGCAGGGCUCUGCCCAGACUCCGCGCGUGUGCGUUUUAACAUCUUCUACUUAAUUCCAUUCAUCCACAGGAAAACUGUGCUUUCGAGCCACUAAAUUGAUUUCAUAACCCACUAAUGGGUCCUGGUUGGCAGUUUGAAAAAUACUAAGAAACUCCGAGAGACGUCUGCAGGGAUAUUCACUGCAGUCUUGUCGGAAAUGGAGGAAAGUGGGGAAAAGGUUAAGUGUCGCCAGGAAAUUGCGGUGUGGGACUCUCAUGGGAUCCUGCACAGCGCUGGAGAUGAAUGAAUUGGAGACAAACACCGGCAACACGAGCCCAGGCUGUCCUCAAACUCACUUGGAUCCUCCUGCCUCAGCCUCCUAUGUGCUGGAACUUCAGGCACAAAAGAACUGGAUGGCAUGAGAAGAUGCUCAAAACCACUGUCAGUCAGGAAAAUGAAAAUCCAAACCGCUAGGAAAUCCCACCUCAGGAGGGGCUGUGGCAUCAGCUGCCCAAGUCUGAAAUCUGGGCACCAUUCCCAGCACUGCAAAUGAGGUCAAACAGAACUCCCUUCACACUCCCCAAGAUGGCCACUGUACCCAAGACAGACACGAGCAAGUGUUGGCAGCGACAUGGCCACACGGGAGUCACACGCUGUGGGCGAGAAUGUUGCAUGCUGCAGCUGCUGCAAAAAAUAGUUUGGCCGCAGUUCAAGAAUGUCACGGAGCCACGGCCGGAUGGUCCUUGGCUGAUGAAUGGACACAUAAAGAAUGCCACCUUGGCGCUGCAAAAUUAAUGAAUUAUGUACUUAAAUAAAUAAAUAGAUGAGCUCA